rnacentral:rRNA from 1 species
UACGUAGGUGGCAAGCGUUAUCCGGAAUUAUUGGGCGUAAAGAGCGCGCAGGUGGUUGAUUAAGUCUGAUGUGAAAGCCCACGGCUUAACCGUGGAGGGUCAUUGGAAACUGGUCGACUUGAGUGCAGAAGAGGGAAGUGGAAUUCCAUGUGUAGCGGUGAAAUGCGUAGAUAUAUGGAGGAACACCAGUGGCGGAGGCGACUUUCUGGACGAUAACUGACGCUGAGACGCGAAAGCGUGGGGAGCAAACAGGAUUAGAUACCCG